AGCGCUUUAGAUGAAGAGGCUAGCUGCAGAGCUGAUAAGAGUAUUUAUUGAGGUGAGUGAUAGAGCGCUUUAGAUGAAGAGGCUAGCUGCAGAGCUGAUAAGAGUAUUUAUUGAGGUGAGUGAUAGAGCGCUUUAGAUGAAGAGGCUAGCUGCAGAGCUGAUAAGAGUAUUUAUUGAGGUGAGUGAUAGAGCGCUUUAGAUGAAGAGGCUAGCUGCAGAGCUGAUAAGAGUAUUUAUUGAGGUGAGUGAUAGAGCGCUUUAGAUGAAGAGGCUAGCUGCAGAGCUGAUAAGAGUAUUUAUUGAGGUGAGUGAUAGAGCGCUUUAGAUGAAGAGGCUAGCUGCAGAGCUGAUAAGAGUAUUUAUUGAGGUGAGUGAUAGAGCGCUUUAGAUGAAGAGGCUAGCUGCAGAGCUGAUAAGAGUAUUUAUUGAGGUGAGUGAUAGAGCGCUUUAGAUGAAGAGGCUAGCUGCAGAGCUGAUAAGAGUAUUUAUUGAGGUGAGUGAUAGAGCGCUUUAGAUGAAGAGGCUAGCUGCAGAGCUGAUAAGAGUAUUUAUUGAGGUGAGUGAUAGAGCGCUUUAGAUGAAGAGGCUAGCUGCAGAGCUGAUAAGAGUAUUUAUUGAGGUGAGUGAUAGAGCGCUUUAGAUGAAGAGGCUAGCUGCAGAGCUGAUAAGAGUAUUUAUUGAGGUGAGUGAUAGAGCGCUUUAGAUGAAGAGGCUAGCUGCAGAGCUGAUAAGAGUAUUUAUUGAGGUGAGUGAUAGAGCGCUUUAGAUGAAGAGGCUAGCUGCAGAGCUGAUAAGAGUAUUUAUUGAGGUGAGUGAUAGAGCGCUUUAGAUGAAGAGGCUAGCUGCAGAGCUGAUAAGAGUAUUUAUUGAGGUGAGUGAUAGAGCGCUUUAGAUGAAGAGGCUAGCUGCAGAGCUGAUAAGAGUAUUUAUUGAGGUGAGUGAUAGAGCGCUUUAGAUGAAGAGGCUAGCUG